rnacentral:rRNA from 1 species
UUAACACAUGCAAGUCGAGGGGCAGCAUUUUAGUUUGCUUGCAAACUGAAGAUGGCGACCGGCGCACGGGUGAGUAACACGUAUCCAACCUGCCGAUAACUCCGGAAUAGCCUUUCGAAAGAAAGAUUAAUACCCGAUGGCAUAAUAGAGCCGCAUGGUUUGAUUAUUAAAGAAUUUCGGUUAUCGAUGGGGAUGCGUUCCAUUAGGCAGUUGGUGGGGUAACGGCCCACCAAACCUUCGAUGGAUAGGGGUUCUGAGAGGAAGGUCCCCCACAUUGGAACUGAGACACGGUCCAAACUCCUACGGGAGGCAGCAGUGAGGAAUAUUGGUCAAUGGACGAGAGUCUGAACCAGCCAAGUAGCGUGAAGGAUGACUGCCCUAUGGGUUGUAAACUUCUUUUAUAUGGGAAUAAAGUGGUCCACGUGUGGAUUUUUGUAUGUACCAUAUGAAUAAGGAUCGGCUAACUCCGUGCCAGCAGCCGCGGUAAUACGGAGGAUCCGAGCGUUAUCCGGAUUUAUUGGGUUUAAAGGGAGCGUAGGUGGACAGUUAAGUCAGUUGUGAAAGUUUGCGGCUCAACCGUAAAAUUGCAGUUGAUACUGGCUGUCUUGAGUACAGUAGAGGUGGGCGGAAUUCGUGGUGUAGCGGUGAAAUGCUUAGAUAUCACGAAGAACUCCGAUUGCGAAGGCAGCUCACUGGACU